rnacentral:rRNA from 1 species
UACGUAGGGUGCAAGCGUUGUCCGGAAUUACUGGGCGUAAAGAGCUCGUAGGCGGUUUGUCGCGUCUGCUGUGAAAACUCGGGGCUUAACUCCGGGCCUGCAGUGGGUACGGGCAGACUAGAGUGCGGUAGGGGAGACUGGAAUUCCUGGUGUAGCGGUGAAAUGCGCAGAUAUCAGGAGGAACACCGGUGGCGAAGGCGGGUCUCUGGGCCGUAACUGACGCUGAGGAGCGAAAGCGUGGGGAGCGAACAGG